CCGGCGAUGUCCGAAUGGGGAAACCCAGUGCAAUUCGUUGCACUAUCGUUAACUGAAUACAUAGGUUAACGAGGCGAACCGGGGGAACUGAAACAUCUAAGUACCCCGAGGAAAAGAAAUCAACCGAGAUUCCCCCAGUAGCGGCGAGCGAACGGGGAGCAGCCCAGAGUCUGAAUCAGCUUGUGUGUUAGUGGAACGGUCUGGAAAGUCCGACGGUACAGGGUGAUAGUCCCGUACACCAAAAUGCACAGGCUGUGAACUCGAAGAGUAGGGCGGGACACGUGGUAUCCUGUCUGAAUAUGGGGGGACCAUCCUCCAAGGCUAAAUACUCCUGACUGACCGAUAGUGAACCAGUACCGUGAGGGAAAGGCGAAAAGAACCCCGGCGAGGGGAGUGAAAAAGAACCUGAAACCGUGUACGUACAAGCAGUGGGAGCACCUUCGGGUGUGACUGCGUACCUUUUGUAUAAUGGGUCAGCGACUUAUAUUCUGUAGCAAGGUUAACCGUAUAGGGGAGCCGCAGGGAAACCGAGUCUUAACUGGGCGUUAAGUUGCAGGGUAUAGACCCGAAACCCGGUGAUCUAGCCAUGGGCAGGUUGAAGGUUGGGUAACACUAACUGGAGGACCGAACCGACUAAUGUUGAAAAAUUAGCGGAUGACUUGUGGCUGGGGGUGAAAGGCCAAUCAAACCGGGAGAUAGCUGGUUCUCCCCGAAAGCUAUUUAGGUAGCGCCUCGUGAAUUCAUCUUCGGGGGUAGAGCACUGUUUCGGCUAGGGGGUCAUCCCGACUUACCAACCCGAUGCAAACUACGAAUACCGAAGAAUGUUAUCACGGGAGACACACGGCGGGUGCUAACGUCCGUCGUGAAGAGGGAAACAACCCAGACCGCCAGCUAAGGUCCCAAAGUCAUGGUUAAGUGGGAAACGAUGUGGGAAGGCACAGACAGCCAGGAUGUUGGCUUAGAAGCAGCCAUCAUUUAAAGAAAGCGUAAUAGCUCACUGGUCGAGUCGGCCUGCGCGGAAGAUGUAACGGGGCUAAACCAUGCACCGAAGCUGCGGCAGCGACACUAUGUGUUGUUGGGUAGGGGAGCGUUCUGUAAGCCUGCGAAGGUGACCUGUGAGGGUUGCUGGAGGUAUCAGAAGUGCGAAUGCUGACAUAAGUAACGAUAAAGCGGGUGAAAAGCCCGCUCGCCGGAAGACCAAGGGUUCCUGUCCAACGUUAAUCGGGGCAGGGUGAGUCGACCCCUAAGGCGAGGCCGAAAGGCGUAGUCGAUGGGAAACAGGUUAAUAUUCCUGUACUUGGUGUUACUGCGAAGGGGGGACGGAGAAGGCUAUGUUAGCCGGGCGACGGUUGUCCCGGUUUAAGCAUGUAGGCUGGUUGUCCAGGCAAAUCCGGAUAAUCAAGGCUGAGGUGUGAUGACGAGGCACUACGGUGCUGAAGUAACAAAUGCCCUGCUUCCAGGAAAAGCCUCUAAGCAUCAGGUAACAUCAAAUCGUACCCCAAACCGACACAGGUGGUCAGGUAGAGAAUACCAAGGCGCUUGAGAGAACUCGGGUGAAGGAACUAGGCAAAAUGGUGCCGUAACUUCGGGAGAAGGCACGCUGGUGUGUAGGUGAAGCCCCUGCGGGUGGAGCUGAGACCAGUCGAAGAUACCAGCUGGCUGCAACUGUUUAUUAAAAACACAGCACUGUGCAAACACGAAAGUGGACGUAUACGGUGUGACGCCUGCCCGGUGCCGGAAGGUUAAUUGAUGGGGUUAUCCGUAAGGAGAAGCUCUUGAUCGAAGCCCCGGUAAACGGCGGCCGUAACUAUAACGGUCCUAAGGUAGCGAAAUUCCUUGUCGGGUAAGUUCCGACCUGCACGAAUGGCGUAAUGAUGGCCAGGCUGUCUCCACCCGAGACUCAGUGAAAUUGAACUCGCUGUGAAGAUGCAGUGUACCCGCGGCAAGACGGAAAGACCCCGUGAACCUUUACUAUAGCUUGACACUGAACAUUGAGCCUUGAUGUGUAGGAUAGGUGGGAGGCUUUGAAGCGUGGACGCCAGUCUGCGUGGAGCCAACCUUGAAAUACCACCCUUUAAUGUUUGAUGUUCUAACGUUGGCCCCUGACCGGGGUUGCGGACAGUGUCUGGUGGGUAGUUUGACUGGGGCGGUCUCCUCCCAAAGCGUAACGGAGGAGCACGAAGGUUAGCUAAUCCUGGUCGGACAUCAGGAGGUUAGUGCAAUGGCAUAAGCUAGCUUGACUGCGAGCGUGACGGCGCGAGCAGGUGCGAAAGCAGGUCAUAGUGAUCCGGUGGUUCUGAAUGGAAGGGCCAUCGCUCAACGGAUAAAAGGUACUCCGGGGAUAACAGGCUGAUACCGCCCAAGAGUUCAUAUCGACGGCGGUGUUUGGCACCUCGAUGUCGGCUCAUCACAUCCUGGGGCUGAAGUAGGUCCCAAGGGUAUGGCUGUUCGCCAUUUAAAGUGGUACGCGAGCUGGGUUUAGAACGUCGUGAGACAGUUCGGUCCCUAUCUGCCGUGGGCGCUGGAGAAUUGAGGGGGGCUGCUCCUAGUACGAGAGGACCGGAGUGGACGCAUCACUGGUGUUCGGGUUGUCAUGCCAAUGGCACUGCCCGGUAGCUAAAUGCGGAAGAGAUAAGUGCUGAAAGCAUCUAAGCACGAAACUUGCCCCGAGAUGAGUUCUCCCUGAGACUUUAAGUCUCCUGAAGGAACGUUGAAGACGA
rnacentral:rRNA from 1 species